rnacentral:rRNA from 1 species
UACGUAGGGGGCUAGCGUUGUCCGGAAUCAUUGGGCGUAAAGAGCGCGUAGGCGGCCAGAUAAGUCCGGUGUGAAAGUCAAAGGCUCAACCUUUGAAUGCCGCUGGAAACUGUCUGGCUAGAGUCCGGAAGGGGCGAGUGGAAUUCCUGGUGUAGCGGUGAAAUGCGCAGAUAUCAGGAGGAACACCGGUGGUGUAGACGGCUUUCUGGACCGUAACUGACGCUGAGACACGAAAGCGUGGGUAGCAAACAGG